CAUUUGUGAUCAUUCAAAUUCAAACAAUUACUUUUUAAAAGUUCACCAAAACAAACUAAACAAAAAUGCCGAAAAUGUUGAUUAAGAGUGUGAGAAUAUCCAUUGCAUGACUGAAGCCCCAAAAUUAAUCAUUGACUACACACCUAAAAGAAGAAUCCAGAGAAAACCAAUUCAGAAAUAGUCACUGGUUGAAAAGCAUAAAUAUUUUUACAGUGUCAGCAUACACAAGCACCUCUUUCAAAUAAAGGGGUAUCAAGGUCUACGAACAAUGUCCACAAGAACAGUUGAUUUUAAGUCAUGCGACUGCAGUGACACAAGAAAAUACUUGAUACUAAAAAAAGUUCAUCUUUAAAGCCAUUGACAGCACUAUGAAGGAUGUCUGUUUGCACCCCAACACUGUGACUACUGCAAAGCAAAACACAUUCAGUUCUAAUCCCCAAUAAAAGCAGAUUUCAUAUAGUGACUAAUUGAGUCAGCCAUCACACUAUUGGUGAGAUUAAAGGACAUUUUCCCCUAAAGUAAUUCAUUAUAAACAGCAUUUUUUGUCCAAACUUUUUUAUGUUUCCUCUACCUCUUAGGCAACACUUCCUGUAUAAAUGUGGUUGUGCUUGACAGACAAAACUAAAAUUUCAGGUUUUUAUUCUAAAAUACUCUUGUUAACACCUCUUUGAGGUUUGAUUUGCACUUCAUCUAAACUACAAGAACAAGUGUCUUUUUUUAUCUUUUAAAACACCAAAUCAAGAUAUUAUGUCCAAAUGCACCUAUGUCUUCUCAAAAAUAUAGCAUUUCAGUCAUCACAACAAAAUAAUAACAGUUCUAUAAAUAAGUUUUUUAUCUUAAACAAAUCUUUCCAGUGCCUCAAGUAGAGUAACCACGGGCCAAUUUCCCCACAACACUGUCAGCGCAUAGAGCCUUUAAGCAUCUUCUCUUUAUGUUUCAUCUUCAAGUUUCAGGAUGGUAGGAGAGACUGUCCAGAGCUUCCUAUUUCCAUCAGGCAUUGCAAGCAUCACUGUUUCCUUCCAACGGGCUGUAGGAGACACAGUUCACUCCCAGCUGACACAAUCGGCAGAUUGUUGUCACGGUGAUGGCCAAUAAGAUGGCUAAUGCUGUCAAAUAUAUGAUCUUUUGUCCGUACCUUUGAAAAAAGAAACAGAUGUUAUAUGUCUGUUUUGGCCUAAUAAGAAGUUAAAUUUUUACUUGCACUAUGAAAAAUCUUUCACUUUAUGCAUUCCUGCUCACUGAGACCUUCAGUCAUUUUUAUCUACAGUAUCUCCCUGAAACACACUCCACAAGCACUUUAAUCUUACCGUGCCCUCAGGGUCCACAAGCAGUAGGUGUUUGGCAAGUCCAUUGUGCAUGCCCGUCAGAACGUAGGACCCUGGGUUGGUAGUGCUUUUACGAACCAGGAAGUCCCCAUCUUCUUUCAGCAGUUUUUCAGCGUCACGGCGGCUCAUUUUGCCAUGGUACCAUGUUUGGCCUUCCAGCUCCUCCUGUGCCCGGAAGGCCAGUGAGCGCACAAGAAGAGGGCUCGAGUUGUCCACGGAUGCUGCCUUGUGAAGACCAGAAGGCACCUGGGACUGGGCUUGCCCCUGGGACGGUGGAUGGGACUGCGACUGAAUGGCAUCCUCGAAGGGCUCUGGUAUAGGUGUAUUAUGACCUCACCUGUCGUGUGUGGAGGACGGUUUGCUUGAGGGACACUGCAGGUACUGCUGGAAGCGAAGGUCAAAGGCCUGGCCAAUGGUGCUGAUGACGUCCUGGGCCAGCCCGUCAGAGCACUCCAGGAUGUGACAUGCUGACGAGGGCCAGAGAAACAAAUUUUAAUGAACAUCUUACAUGUGAGAUAUGAUACACUCAAGUCUGAAUUAAAGGCAUGAACACCUACCUCUUCUGUUAACGGGGUCCUUUGCUACAUAGGCAACAUAAUCUGUUGUGUCCUAAAAAAAGAUACAUUACAACUGUUGUAAUAAUCUCCAACUAUAAAAUACCAUAAUACCUUCAUACAAUAACCUUUAUUUUCUGGUUAUUACAUAUUGGCUUUUAAUACCAGUGAUGGGAGGUUAAAAUUCAUAAUUUCCAAAUACAGAAUAACUAAUAAAUAUUGUAAUACAAUUUGGAUAUUUAGUCAUGUUUGAAGAGGGAACAUAUUUUGGAACAGGUCUUCAGUGAACAAUGUACAGUAUUGUCAGUAAGAGUAAUACAAUCUAGACUGUAUAAACAUUUGUUACACAGUAUAAUGACACAUGCUUCUUUGAACUAUAUAUACUGUAAAUGCACUUCUUGCAAGUGCGUUCCAAAAAAUUCCAAUUAAUAAAGAUAGAAUGACAAUACAACUUUGAUAAAUAAUAGUUUCUCCCAUGGCCAAACUUAUUUGUUAAUUAUAUUAGCAAAAAUAUAUUUUUGUUAUUAAGUAGUUUUCAUUAUUAUUAUAUUAUAUUAUUACAGAUGGCAGUUAAUUUGACACAGGUGACUGAGUUACUUACAGGAUCUCCACCUGAUGCAAAAGAGAUGGACUGCAUGUGAUGGUUGGCUAUGAUCUAUCAAGAGCAAAAUUAUACAGUACACAUUAGUUAGCACAUGCCCCUUUAUACAAACAGUGAUAGAUACAAAAGCACAUGCAUUAAUUCUACACACAUACAGUAUAUAUACUUUAAAAUGCAUAUCAGAAAUUUGUUUAUUUCUUUUAUUCCUAUACCCAACGACAAAACUCUGUUGCUGGUAUCUAACACACUGUGACGCAGCCAUAUUGGAAGUCUUCUGAAACAGUACCCUAUAAAGACAUAUUUUGAAUUUUGUGAUUUUCUGAAAUGUAUUUGCUUUCUAUACCACUUUUAUGUCUGUGUGUUAAAUAUGGAGCUGGAGACAGAAGACAUGCUUUGCAUAAAAAGUGGAGCAGGGGGUAAAAUCCUGUACCCUUAGGCUCACUAAUUAACACUGUGUAUCUUAAUUGUUGUCUAUAGAAAUGUAAAAAUGAAAAGUUGUGGUUUGACUGACUGGUUGUAUUUCUUAACAUCUCAAACAUCUCAUCACAUUUCUCAAAACAAUUAAAACAGCAUGGUUAAUGUCA